GGAAAAGUUAUAACAAUAUAGGGAUAAGUGAAAAUGUAAAUUGUUAUUUGUAUUAUGAUUUUUAAUGUAUUUAUUGGAAAAAAAGGUCCCAGUGGAUACAGAGAGGCCAGUGCAGGGAGUACUGGAGGAAAAUGGAGGAGGCCUACGUCGAGAGACGCACCAAAUAAAGAUGCUGAUGAUUUGGACAUGCAAUUUGCUUAUACAUGCGAGAUAAGGAGCCCUUUUUCUUUUGCUAUAAAGUGUGCCCGCUGUAUUGUUCACCACGGAGACGCUAUGACGACGACACAUCGUCGUUAAUCUAUUCUGAUGAUGAAUUACCGUACAUAUAUGAGGAACCCGAAGAGAUUUACCCACACAGUUUUCACUUUUGUAAGCCCAAACCCACCACUUCAACAACGACACAAGCGACAACGACUACAACGGAAGAGCCGACAUUUAUCUGUUUAAUGUGUAAGAAGAAAUGCAAUAAAAAAUCUACUUAAGCAAAAAGGUUUUAUAAGAUA